ensembl:lncRNA
CAGAAAUACAUCUUGUUUGGUAGCCUCAGUGUUUAUUAGCAUUUGUUUAUAAGUGAUUUUAUUUAUACAUUCAUUCAUUUUACUUUUUUAUAUAUAAUUAGCAUUGAAAUAAGAAUAAGAGGUAGGACAUAUGGUAAUUUACAGCAGUGAGAAGUUUUCACAAAAUGCUAAGCAUUUGGGGAAAGAGUUAUUAACCUAUGAAUUUUCCUGACCUUUCUACUCAGUCUUUCUAAUAAAAAUAUAUUAGCUUUUGUUUAGAAGAGUCAUGAUUUUUCAUCGAGUGCCCCUUAUAUAAAGCUACUCAAGGUUUUUGUGGCAAGAAUAAUUUAGUUUUUACUGACCAUUUUUUGUCUGACCCUAAGGAGUAAUAAGCCGUUUUUGGUGCUUUGCUUUUGUAAAAUUACCCUUCGCAUUUGAAAUGAUUCAGCAGUGCUUUUUUUCUGCUCACAGAUGGUCAGGGGUCUUGUUCAGCCACUCAUUUCUAAAGCUGGGAUCCUUCAGACAGAUAUGCAGAGAGUUAGGUGCUGCACACAUCCAGGAACUGCUCGAGCAUGCUGGCCUUUUGAAGUGGAGGCAUUUCACUGUGAAAUUGUCGAACUCUGAGCACAGCAACAGUGGGGUCCACAUAAGAGACAUCAGGCGACCCGCAGGGAACCGCUAUUAGCUAUAUCUGCAGUCCAGAUUCAGGCCAUUUUGAAAUGAAUGAACAUCAGACUGAAUAAUAGGCACUCUAUAAGCUUCUUCCUUCACGAUGGGAGGUCACAUUACCCAGAAUUCAUCCCAUUAAUAAGCACCUGCCCUUCCCCGACAGUGAGCAACCCUUGCUAUUGAUGGAGCUCUCUCUGGGGAAAUCACAACCUCUACACCUAGACGUUCUUUUGAGAAUUCUUUGUCUUCAUGUGCGUACGAACAUCAACAAGUCACCAUGCCGGGACUUGCCAUAUACAACAUCCAGCUUCCAAUCUCCUGAAGAGCAUGCACACGCUCCAAGGAGGGUUUCGUAAAUGUCCUUGCUCGCUGUCCUUGCACCCUUUGCUUAGGAUGUGUGAGGAUUCUAAUAGCUGAGAGGGUCAUCUUAGCUGACUGCUGCCAGAACCAUCGCCUGCUGACUGCAUCAUCAUCCACGAUAGCCAAUCACAGUCAAGGACUUAGUGAUGCUGUGCCACUCUCACUGGAGGGAUUCCGAAGGAAGUACCUCGUGACGGUGCAUGGUUAAACAGCCAAGAGUCCCUUUCUCUCUCCCUCCCUCUCACUAAUUCAGGACUGGAUGCAUGCACGAUCUGGUUUUUAACAGGGAGAGCACAUUACCAUGCACACUACUCCCUGCAGGCUCGCCAGAGAAUAGCGACAACAGCAGCUCUCUCACUCUCUCCCCCGCUCUCUCCACCUCUACCAGACAAGACUCCUCCUCUCCAUCUCUCUGUGACUCCCUCUCUCUCUCUUGCAUAUGAUCUGUACUUCACUUCCUCCCAGCUGAAGCAGGCGAUAACAGCACGCUACACAGGUAGGCACUCAUAUUUCCCUCUCUGAAGUUGCAGGUGUUCAGCUUUUGCUGGUUUGUUUCGUAUUGGUUGCGAUUCUGAAAGAGACCUAUACUGGGG